CAAUAGCGUAUAUUAAAGUUGUUGCGGUUAAAAAGCUCGUAGUUGGAGUUCUGCCAGGUGCCGCCUGUCCGCCCCAGUGGUGAGUACGUGGCGCGCAUUUGGCCCUUUCAAGGGGAGCGUAUCUGCACUUUAUUGUGUGGUGCGGGAUCCUUGACUUUUACUUUGAGGAAAUAGGAGUGUUCCAAGCAGGCUCUCGUCGUGCACAGCUCAGCAUGGAAUAAUAGCAUUGGACCUCGAUUCUAAGCUGUUGGUUGCCAGAAGCGAGGUAAUGAUGAAGAGGGAUAGUUGGGGGCAUUCGUGUUUAACUGUCGGAGGUGAAAUUCUUGGAUUUGUUAAAGACGGACUACUGCGAAAGCAUCUGCCAUGGAUGUUUUCAUUGA
rnacentral:rRNA from 1 species